CUUAAAUACUGGGCAAAUAAAUUCAUUGGCAACUCUGAAGUAAGAAACAAUAACAAUAAUUAAUACAAUUUAAUCUCUACAAAAUAUAAUAUAACCAGUUAGCAAAAUUGUAAAGGCGACAAAGUUACGGACGGAUUUCCUUUAUCUGGUUCCUUAUCAGUCAGCCACUUUUUGUACUGAUCCCUCGCUUCGUUAACGCAUGGUUCAUAUCCAACACGACAAAGGAAAUUUUUUGCCAUUCCUCGCA